GCUGGCGUAGCUCAGGGGUAGAGCAGCUGAUUUGUAAUCAGCAGGUCGGAGGUUCGAAUCCUCUCGCCAGCUCCA
rnacentral:tRNA from 1 species